CGAGUGGCGGACGGGUGAGGAAUACAUCGGAAUCUACUCUUUCGUGGGGAUAACGUAGGGAAACUUACGCUAAUACCGCAUACGACCUACGGGUGAAAGCGGAGGACCUUCGGGCUUCGCGCGAUUGAAUGAGCCGAUGUCGGAUUAGCUAGUUGGCGGGGUAAAGGCCCACCAAGGCGACGAUCCGUAGCUGGUCUGAGAGGAUGAUCAGCCACACUGGAACUGAGACACGGUCCAG
rnacentral:rRNA from 1 species